rnacentral:rRNA from 1 species
GACGAACGCUGGCGGCGUGCUUAACACAUGCAAGUCGAACGGAAAGGCCCUGCUUUUGUGGGGUGCUCGAGUGGCGAACGGGUGAGUAACACGUGAGUAACCUGCCCUUGACUUUGGGAUAACUUCAGGAAACUGGGGCUAAUACCGGAUAGGAGCUCCUGCUGCAUGGUGGGGGUUGGAAAGUUUCGGCGGUUGGGGAUGGACUCGCGGCUUAUCAGCUUGUUGGUGGGGUAGUGGCUUACCAAGGCUUUGACGGGUAGCCGGCCUGGGAGGGUGACCGGCCACAUUGGUCCUACGAUACGGCCCAGACUCCUACGGGAGGCAGCAGUGGGGAAUAUUGCACAAUGGGCCGAAGCCUGAUGCAGCAACGCCGCGUGCGGGAUGACGGCCUUCGGGUUGUAAACCGCUUUCGCCUGUGACGAAGCGUGAGUGACGGUAAUGGGUAAAGAAGCACCGGCUAACUACGUG